GAGGGUUUUCUUUAUCCUUUCUGAUACAAU
rnacentral:piRNA from 1 species